UACGAAGGGGGCUAGCGUUGUUCGGAAUUACUGGGCGUAAAGCGCACGUAGGCGGAUUUGUAAGUCAGGGGUGAAAUCCCGGGGCUCAACCUCGGAACUGCCUUUGGUACUGCAAGUCUUGAGUCCGGAAGAGGUGAGUGGAAUUCCUAGUGUAGAGGUGAAAUUCGUAGAUAUUAGGAAGAACACCAGUGGCGAAGGCGGCUCACUGGUCCGGUACUGACGCUGAGGUGCGAAAGCGUGGGGAGCAAACAGG
rnacentral:rRNA from 1 species